rnacentral:rRNA from 1 species
AAAUUGAAGAGUUUGAUCAUGGCUCAGAUUGAACGCUGGCGGCAGGCCUAACACAUGCAAGUCGAACGGUAACAGAAAGCAGCUUGCUGCUUUGCUGACGAGUGGCGGACGGGUGAGUAAUGUCUGGGAAACUGCCUGAUGGAGGGGGAUAACUACUGGAAACGGUAGCUAAUACCGCAUAAUGUCGCAAGACCAAAGAGGGGGACCUUCGGGCCUCUUGCCAUCGGAUGUGCCCAGAUGGGAUUAGCUUGUUGGUGGGGUA